rnacentral:rRNA from 1 species
UACGAAGGGUGCAAGCGUUAACCGGAACUACUGGGCGUAAAGGGUGCGUAGGCGGUUCGUUAAGUCUGUCGUGAAAUCCCCGGGCUCAACCUGGGAAUGGCGAUGGAUACUGGCGAGCUAGAGUGUGUCAGAGGAUGGUGGAAUUCCCGGUGUAGCGGUGAAAUGCGUAGAGAUCGGGAGGAACAUCAGUGGCGAAGGCGGCCAUCUGGGACAACACUGACGCUGAAGCACGAAAGCGUGGGGAGCAAACAGG